rnacentral:rRNA from 1 species
GAUGAACGCUGGCGGCGUGCCUAAUACAUGCAAGUCGAGCGAACGGACGAGAAGCUUGCUUCUCUGAUGUUAGCGGCAGACGGGUGAGUAACACGUGGAUAACCUACCUAUAAGACUGGGUUAACUUCGGGAAACCGGAGCUAAUACCGGAUGAUAUUUUGAACCGCAUGGUUCAAAAGUGAAAGACGGUCUUGCUGUCACUUAUAGAUGGAUCCGCGCUGCAUUAGCUAGUUGGUAAGGUAACGGCUUACCAAGGCAACGAUGCACAGCCGACCUGAGAGGGUGAUCGGCCACACUGGAACUGAGACACGGUCCAGACUCCUACGGGAGGCAGCAGUAGGGAAUCUUCCGCAAUGGGCGAAAGCCUGACGGAGCAACGCCGCGUGAGUGAUGAAGGUCUUCGGAUCGUAAAACUCUGUUAUUAGGGAAGAACAUAUGUGUAAGUAACUGUGCACAUCUUGACGGUACCUAAUCAGAAAGCCACGGCUAACUACGUG